rnacentral:rRNA from 1 species
AUUGAACGCUGGCGGCAUGCCUUACACAUGCAAGUCGAACGGCAGCACGGGAGCAAUCCUGGUGGCGAGUGGCGAACGGGUGAGUAAAGUAUCGGAACGUGCCCAGUCGGGGGGGAUAACGUAGCGAAAGUUACGCUAAUACCGCAUACGAUCUAUGGAUGAAAGCGGGGGAUCGCAAGACCUCGCGCGAUUGGAGCGGCCGAUAUCAGAUUAGGUAGUUGGUGGGGUAAAGGCUCACCAAGCCGACGAUCUGUAGCUGGUCUGAGAGGCACGACCAGCCACACUGGGACUGAGACACGGCCCAGACUCCUACGGGAGGCAGCAGUGGGGAAUUUUGGACAAUGGGCGAAAGCCUGAUCCAGCCAUGCCGCGUGCAGGAUGAAGGCCUUCGGGUCGUAAACUGCUUUUGUACGGAACGAAAAGGUUUGGCCUAAUAAGCUGAGCUCAUGACGGUACCGUAAGAAUAAGCACCGGCUAACUACGUGCCAGCCGCCGCGGUAA